AUGCAGAGGGUCUGCUACCUCAUCCACCUCACUCUCUUCUGGCCAGGAGUCAUGUCAGCUGUCACGUUGGUGCCUCAAAACCAAGCAAGGAGUGUGUCUGUGGGGGAAUCUGUCACCCUCAGGUGCUCCAUGAAAGGAGACUCCAUCAGUAACUACUACACCUUCUGGUACAGGAAAACACCGGGUAACACAAUGACUCUCAUAUACCGAGAAGGGGGCACAUAUGGCCCUGGUUUCGAAGACAACUUCCAAGGUGAAAUUGAUUUUUUAAACAACCAGGCUGUGCUGAAUAUCCUGGAGGCAUCAGAGAGAGAUGAAGGAUCUUACUACUGUGCCUCGACCACCACCCUGCUUCACAAUACUAACUACCUAGACAGGCUCAUCUUUGGAAAAGGAACUCGCCUGAUUGUGGAACCAAAAAUUCAGGCUGUUGCCAACCCAUCCGUUUUUGUCAUGAAAAACGGGACAUAUGUCACUUGUCUGGUGAAGGAGUUCUACCCCAAAGAUGUAACUAUAAGUCUGGAAUCAUCCAAGAUAAUAAGAGAAUAUGACCCUGCUAUCGUCAUCUCUCCCGGUGGGAGGUACAGUGCCGUCAAGCUUGGUCAGUAUGGAGAUCCAGAUUCAGUGACAUGUUCAGUUCAACAUAACAAACAAACCUGGAGCUCUACUGACUUCAAACCGAAGAAAAAUACUUCAGAAAGUCCAAAGCCAAAGGAACCUGAAAACAUCAAUCAAACUCAAACUCCAGAGACCUGCUAUGAGCCCCAAGCCUUAGUGCAAGCCGGGAAGGUGAACAUGAUGUCCCUUGCAGUGCUGGGGCUCCGAAUGCUGUUUGCCAAGAGUGUUGCCAUCAAUUUUCUCUUGACUGCCAAGUUAUUUUUCUUUUAAGGCUGACCGGCAUGAGAAGGCUACACGCCCUGAAAGAAAUCAAAAGCCUACAGAGGUGCUAUCUCCUAGGCUUUCAACUUCCUGGUGGUUUAAGUUGACCCGUCCCAGCCUUGCUUAAAUGGCUGUUUCCCAAACCAGUUUUCCUUUAAAGGCAACAAACCCAGCUUAUCCUUCAGCCUGAUGAAAGACAGAAGUCCUGGAGAGUGGGGGCUUAUGGUCCCAACUGUUUUACAUGCUGCUUUAUAAAAGGAUAUAGAGAUAUGAAGGUAUAUAGGACACAUUUUUUUUCCUACAACUGACACACUUUGAAAAUGGUGUUUUGUUCCUUUGACUUUCUUUACCUCCAGAAGUAGAAAGCAGGAGCCAUCGGGUUCCUAGCCCCAUUCUCCAAGAGGAAAAUAGAUCCUGGGCUUCUACCGAAACAUAAAAGGCUCUGCUCAACCCAGCACUAGGUUUGCCCCAAACUAGCGUUCUCAUCCACAAAGGCACUUUCUGCUUUUCCUAGUAUUUGACAAACAAAACUACAUUUGACUUCCUAACACUCUCUGCCCAGGCAAUGGGGUUUCUCAAAUCUCAUCUAAAUACCCUCAGAGUUAUUAGCAGAGAUCAGAGUAAAAUGCAGAGGAAAUGGGUUUCUCUCUAUUAAUUGAUUUAACGAACAUGAAUUACUCCAAGUUCUAGGCACUGUACUGAGGGUGCAAAAAUACGUAAGACGUGGGUCUUGCUUUCAAGCAACUCAUUGUGCAAGUGUUCUGGGAGGGAGGGACAGGAAUGAGACCCCGAGAUUUCCCCUGUAAGAACAGUGUCUUCAUGACCCCCUGCCUGCCCAUCCAUGCCCAGGAAGUUUGAAG